AUGAGUUAUGAUUGCUUUGGAUCUACUAGAAGAAAUAUGCUGGAAAUGCAGGUUGCCUCUACCUGGCCUGGUGCCCAUCGCCCUGUGAGGUUGGUGGACUCAACAUUCCAUUGCACAUUAUAUAAAGGGAAGAAUUACCAAUGGACUUCAGUCAGAAUUCUGGCAGCAUCCCUCAUGAAGGGUCAGCUGUGUCCAGGUAGCGAGGCAAGGUCACAAGUGUCCCCCAUCUUCUUACUUACAGCCAGGAUGGAAGAGCAGCUUUCUGCUGGGACAUGUUGCUUCAUCAAGGUAUGUACUUGCAGAGAGAUGGAAAGAUUGGCCUUUCAUCAAACUGAUCAGAAUACUUUCAGCAUGUCGGCCAGUGAUUCAAAAGCAGGCAUUUUUUCGACUAAGCUACCAGACGAAUAGACUAGAGAGAGAUCCUCUCUCUUGCUGCAUUAAAACCACCAGGACAGGGGCGCUUAGGUGGUCCAGUUGGAUAAGCGUCGGACUCUUGAUUUGGCUCAGGUCAUGAUCUCAGUCAGGGGCAUGAGAUCCAGCCCCACAUCAGACUCCAAGCUCAGCAUGGAGCCCGCUAAAGAGUCUCUCUCUCCUUCUCCUUCUCCCACUCCCCCAACACCUCCCCACUGUCUCUCCCUCUUGAAAAAGACAACCCCCCUGGAGAAAUUUUAAAAAUCAUUCCUGCUCUGAUUUUUGAUUUGCUAGAUAGACUGUCGGAGACAAGCAUGUAAAUAGCAGAAAGAGCAAAGGCAGUGUCCCUAUUGAGAGGCAGGUCUGGGAGAGACAGAAUGGCCUCAGCCUAGCCACAGGUAGCAAACAUUCCUGAGCUGGCGCACAUCCAUCCGUCCAGAUGCUGUGGGUAGAAACCAGGCCUAACAAUGGAAUCCCCUAUAGGAGGAAGAGGAAGAAAGGGCAGGCUCAGAAAAUUAGAUAAAAAUUGGAAUGGGCUUAAGUCAGACAAUGGGUGGCAUGGUUUCUCUGUUCCAGCUAAGCCCAGACUUUAGUGGGAAAGAUACGCCUCCCACCUAAGUAGUUACAUUACCUCUUGGAGAGCCUCUGGAACCAUCGAGGUGAGAGAAUUCAUUUUUUUUUAAAUUUAUUUAUUCAUGAGAGGGGGGAGAGAGAGAGAGAGAGAGCGAAUGAGAGAGAGAGAGAGAGAGAAUGAGAGAGGCAGAGAUACAGGCAGAGGGAGAAGCAGGCUCUAUGCAGGGACCCUGAUGCGGGACUUGAUCCUGGGCCUGGGGAUCACACCCUGGGCUGAAGGCAUGCGCUAAACCGCUGAGCCACCCAGGCAUCCCAAGGUGAGAGAAUUAGUUAAGAAAAAGGAUGGUGAUGGUGCAGGGAAAGCCUCACAGAGAAUCCAUGUGGCAACUCUAAGGGAUGAAUAGAUAUCCACCAUCGAGGAACAAGGAGUGGAUACAGAGAAAGAUACAAAGAAAUACAAGGGAAGAUGCAAGGAAAAAAGGCAAAACUGGAAUGAGCUAAAAUCAUCAGAGAAAUGAAAAACUCAAGUUUAAAUAGGAUAAAUAAAUCUCGUAGGUUAGUAAACA
rnacentral:lncRNA from 12 species